UGAGAGUGGAAGGGAAUUGGGUGAUAGAAUCAGCCUGAAUGAGCAAUUGCAAAAUCAUGCUGCUACAUUCAAUCGCUCGAUUCAAUUACUAGGGACUGAACAGGCAGCAACAAAUUACCUUAAUAAGUGCUUAUAUUAUGUCAGCUUGGGCACUAAUGAUUACAUAAACAACUACUUCGUGCCUGGUAAUUAUGAAACAAGUCGUUUAUAUACCCAAGAUCAAUAUGCCAAGGUUUUAAUUGACCAGUAUAGUCAGCAAAUAAAGCGUUUGUACCUCUUCGGAGCCAGGAAAAUUGCCUUGCCUGGACUUAUACCAUUAGGCAGCAUUCCUUACGCAUCUUCUACUCUAUGCCUCAAGAAUCUCUCUUGUGUGGCCAAUAUAAACAACGCAGUCCUACCUUUUAACGCAGGACUCUUUUCACUUGUUCAACAACUGAAUCAAGAGUUGAAUGACGCACGCUUUAUAUAUUUGAAUAUUUCUGGAAUGUCAUCUAGCGAUCCUUCUGU